AUUGAACGCUGGCGGCAUGCCUUACACAUGCAAGUCGAACGGCAGCACGGGUGCUUGCACCUGGUGGCGAGUGGCGAACGGGUGAGUAAUACAUCGGAACGUACCUUAUCGUGGGGGAUAACGCAGCGAAAGCUGUGCUAAUACCGCAUACGCCCUGAGGGGGAAAGCGGGGGAUCGCAAGACCUCGCGCGAUUAGAGCGGCCGAUGCCUGAUUAGCUUGUUGGUGGGGUAAAAGCCCACCAAGGCGACGAUCAGUAGCUGGUCUGAGAGGACGAUCAGCCACACUGGGACUGAGACACGGCCCAGACUCCUACGGGAGGCAGCAGUGGGGAAUUUUGGACAAUGGGGGCAACCCUGAUCCAGCAAUGUCGCGUGAGUGAAGAAGGCCUUCGGGUUGUAAAGCUCUUUUGUCAGGGAAGAAACACCGGCUCUAACACAGUCCGGGAAUGACGGUACCUGGAGAAUAAGCACCGGCUAACUACGUGCCAGCCGCCGCGGUAA
rnacentral:rRNA from 1 species